ACUUGCUGUACGUGUGGCACGAGGUGACCGGCCUGCUGGCAGACUACCAUCCUGAACACCCUGUGCCAGCAGGCCAGACUUGCUGUACGUGUGGCACGAGGUGACCGGCCUGCUGGCAGGCUACCUAUCCGUGAGCCAUCCUGAACACCCUGUGCCAGCAGGCCAGUUGCUGUGCGUUUGGCACGAGGUGACGGGCCUGCAUGUGGGCCACCUGUCGGUACUGCUUUUCCUACUGCAAUCGGGGGUGCUAUCCGACCAGCGGCUUCGUGAAGGCCUCGCCUACCCGUAUGCGGUCCUCAACACGUGAUUCCAGCAGGCCAGUUGCUGUGCGUGUGGCAGGAGGAGGUGACAGGCCUACCUACAGGUGGGCCACCUAUCGGUACUGAUUUUCCAACUGCCAUCGGGGGUGCUAUACGACCACCGGCUUGGUGAAGGCCUCGCCUA